rfam:Triticum urartu cultivar G1812 contig587709, whole genome shotgun sequence.
AAAGUACUCCCUCCGCCCCAAAAUUCAUGUCUUAGAUUUGUCUAGAUACGGAUGUAUCAAGUCACAUUUUAGUAUUAGAUACAUCUGUAUCUAGACAAAUCUAAGACAAGAAAUUUGGGACAGAGGGAGUAGUUG